rnacentral:rRNA from 1 species
GAUUCGAUUAGAGUUUGAUCCUGGCUCAGGACGAACGCUGGCGGCGUGCCUAACACAUGCAAGUCAAGGAGAAAGGGGUAGCAAUAUCCCGAGUACACUGGCGCACGGGUGAGUAAGGCGUAGGCAACCUGCCCAAAGGACGGGAACAACUCAGCGAAAGCUGAACUAAUACCCGAUGAAGCAGCGGCAUCGCAUGGUGCUGUUGUCAAAGGCCCGCAAGGGCGCCUCUGGAUGGGCCUGCGUCCCAUUAGGUAGUUGGUGAGGUAACGGCCCACCAAGCCUACGAUGGGUAGCUGGUCUGAGAGGAUGAUCAGCCACACUGGAACUGAGACACGGCCCAGACUCCUACGGGAGGCAGCAGUGGGGAAUAUUGGACAAUGGGCGGAAGCCUGAUCCAGCAACGCCGCGUGAGGGAUGACGGCCUUCGGGUUGUAAACCUCUUUCAGCACAGACGAAGCCUUUUGAGGUGACGGUAUGUGUAGAAGAAGGACCGGCCAACUACGUGCCAGCAGCCGCGGUAAUACGUAGGGUCCGAGCGUUGUCCGGAAUUAUUGGGCGUAAAGGGCUCGUAGGCGGUU